rnacentral:rRNA from 2 species
GUGGCAAGUCUUCCAGUAUGGGGAGCAAAACAGCUAUGGGUCAAGUCCGAUAUCUUUAGGAGAAGUCUUAUUGUGAGGGCGAGUUAUAUAACACCAUAGGACUGGCCGUCCCAUAUGAAAAGAUUAUAUUAGAAUUGAAUGAAGCUUUGUUUAUAUAUUGAUAAUGACAGUAUAUAUAUCGUGUCUUGACUAAUUGCGUGCCAGCAGUCGCGGUAAUACGUAAGAGACUAGUGUUAUUCAUCUUAAUUAGGUUUAAAGGGUACCCAGACGGUCAAUAUAGCUUAUAAAAUGUUAGUACUUGACUAGAGUUUUAUGUAAGAGGGCAGUACUUGAGGAGGAGAGAUGAAAUUUCGUGAUACCAAAGGGACUCUGUAAAGGCGAAGGCAGCCCUCUAUGUAAAAACUGACGUUGAAGGACGAAGGCACAGAGAACAAACAGGAUUAGAUACCCAAGUAGUCUUUGCAGUAAAUGAUGAAUGCCAUAGGUUAGAUUGGUCAAUUAUAGUCUAGGGUUAGUCUAGCAAACUAAUACCCUAUGCUAUAAUCCUAAUAUCUGGUCUAUAAAUGAAAGUGUAAGCAUUUCACCUCAAGAGUAAUGUGGCAACGCAGGAACUGAAAUCACUAGACCGUUUCUGACACCAGUAGUGAAGUAUGUUAUUUA